GUUAAAAAGCUCGUAGUUGGAUCUCGGCAAGUAGAGGGCGGUAUGCUUCGUAGCAUUACUGCCCUAUUACUUGUAGUUUUGCCAGAGGUUCCUGGGUGCUCUUAAUCGAGUGUCUAGGGAUGCUGGCAGGUUUACUUUGAAAAAAUUAGAGUGCUCAAAGCAGGCUAUUACGCUUGAAUAUUCGUGCAUGGAAUAAUAGAAUAGGAAGUUGUUUCUAUUUUGUUGGUUUUCGGAAAUCGACUUAAUGAUUAAUAGGGACAGUCGGGGGCAUUUGUAUUCAAACGACAGAGGUGAAAUUCUUGGACCGUUUGAAGACAAACUACUGCGAAAGCAUUUGCCAAGAAUGUUUUCAUUAAUCAAGAACGAAAGUUAGAGGUUCGAAGGCGAUUAGAUACCGCCCUAGUUCUAACCAUAAACGAUGCCAGCUAGCGAUCUGAGGACGUUUUUUUUGUAGACUCCUCAGGAAGCUUCCGGGAAACCAAAGCGUGUGGGUUCCGGGGGAAGUAUGGUUGCAAAGCUGAAACUUAAAGGAAUUGACGGAAGGGCACCACCAGGAGUGGAGCCUGCGGCUUAAUUUGACUUAACACGAGAAAUCUCACCAGGCCCGGACACUGGAAGGAUUGACAGAUUGAGAGCUCUUUCUCGAUUC
rnacentral:rRNA from 1 species